AGAUUCAAAUACGAAGCUAGAUCGAGGAAAGGAAAAAGUUCGGGAUUAGUAGAUUUUUACUGUUUACAAACAAGUAUCAAGGUAAGUUCGUGUAACCUGAAUUAUAUUCUUAAAUUGAUACUUGUUUGUAAACAGUAAAAAUCUAUUAAUCCCGAACUUUUUCCUUUCCUCGAUCUAGCUUCGUAUCCGGAUCU
rnacentral:pre_miRNA from 1 species